UACGUAGGAGGCGAGCGUUGUCCGGAGUUACUGGGCGUAAAGGGUGCGCAGGCGGCGGUUCGCGUGGCGAGAUGAAAUCUCCUGGCUUACCUGGGAGGAUGGUCGCCAGACGGGAUCGCUUGAGGGUCGGAGAGGGGCGUGGAAUUCCGGGUGGAGCGGUGAAAUGCGUAGAUAUCAUUUGGAACGCCAAUGGUGAAAACAGGUAGCUGGGAGUGUGCUGACGCUGAGACACGAAAGCCAGGGGAGCGAACGGG
rnacentral:rRNA from 1 species